rnacentral:sRNA from 1 species
GGAAGGAAGAACAUCUAACAAGAAUCCAAAAAGCCCAAGGCGUGCAGAUUUCUUACUUCUACCCCCCCAUCUAUUUAUAUUCUGUGAGUGUCGAGAUGAAUAUGACUCAGCUGUGACACACAAAAAGACGAGGCGACAUGCAGUUCAAGCCUCACACUCCCCUCCGCUUAUGAGGAGCUUUGUGGCUGCCAAAUACAGAUUGAUGCAAAACCCUUUGUUUCAGAGAACCAAGGCUUACUUUCCCCAGCUGGCACUGGACAAGGUUCUCUCCUACUAACAGGGAGAUUGGAUAAAGAAACCUAAUGAUAACUUUGCUGCUCUGAAAACCUGAGAUUAUUUCCUGAGAUUUUCCUCCUGAGGCUGGAAAGCAAAGGUGAAGAUGUAGAACUCAGCUCCUGCACCAUGCCUAC